GAAAAAAAGUUAAUAUAAAUACUGCAUGAGAAUUGAAAUAUUUCAUGACAUAAAAAAAUCUGAAAGUUUCCUAUUCCUUUUAGUAUGAGAACUAUAAAAGGAUUGAAUUCAUCAUGCAUUAGAAAAAUACAACCUAUUGCUUUUAUUUUUGAGAGAGCAAGAAAAAAACCUCCAAAUAUUAAAGCUGAAGGGAAAAGGGACAAGAGUCAAAUUAUAGUCAUGCCCUGCUAUAAUCUUAAAAUAAAAGUGCUACUUUUUUUAAAAGUAAAAAUUGUCAUUGGAAAACUCUUAUUUUGAAAGUUCUACCAAGUGUUCAUUUCAUUCCUAUCCUGAUUACUGUGGUAAUAGUCUGCUUCUGACCAAAAGCUAGAGAAUAUAUUCAUGGCAAGAAAAAAACCCACUCAGGCACACGUAUUCAAUCUGUGGAAACUUUCAUUCUUGAAACCCCUUAAAAACUGAGACUCAGCUUCACACAGUAAUGAGCAGCUCAGGAUGAGCACGAGCAGUGUGCUAAGCAGGUUACAUUUCACCAGAGCAAAGACAAGUAGAUGGCCUGGACCCAUGGCCAGUAGUUUAGAAAAGCUGAGGCUUAAAAAGGGAGUGUAUUAUAUAGUUUCUCAACUCAAGAACUUGAAAAGCACUUGUCUAUUUAUUUUAAAACUAAAUCCAAGACAAUGAUACAGUAUAACAUUUAUCUUAUGACGGAAAUGGUCUUAGCAGAAAUACGAGUAUGUUAUUCACAUUUUAUUUCUUCCAACAAACCAAUUAUUAAUUGAAAGAAAAAAAAAGGAAGCCUGAAAUUCCAGCUUGGAGAGUAUCUAAACUGUGUAAAUUGAUUUUUCCCUUAUAUUAUUUUUCCCCUUUUCAUAGGAGAUUAAGUCUAUUUGCCAAAUGAAUUUCUAAAAUCUUUUUCUAAAAUUCCACAAA